rnacentral:rRNA from 1 species
AAGUCGUAACAAGGUCUCCGUAGGUGAACCUGCGGAGGGAUCAUUACCGAGUUCAUGCCCUUACGGGUAGACCUCCCACCCUAUGUUAUAUUACCUUUGUUGCUUUGGCGGGCCGCCCGGCUUCGGCCAGGCUACCGGCUCCAGCUGGUAAGCGCUCGCCAGAGGACCCUCAACUCUGAAUAUCAGUGUCGUCCGAGUACUAUAAAAUAGUUAAAACUUUCAACAACGGAUCUCUUGGUUCUGGCAUCGAUGAAGAACGCAGCGAAAUGCGAUAAGUAAUGUGAAUUGCAGAAUUCAGUGAAUCAUCGAAUCUUUGAACGCACAUUGCGCCCCUUGGUAUUCCGAGGGGCAUGCCUGUUCGAGCGUCAUUACAACCCUCAAGCACUGCUUGGUAUUGGGCUCCGCUGGCUCCAGCGGGCCUUAAAAUCAGUGGCGGCGCCGUUUGGGCUCUGAGCGUAGUAAAUAUCCUCGCUAUAGAGACCAGGCGGUUCUUGUCAUCAACCCCCAACU